CGUACUCUCGGCAAAUUCCCUCUGGCGUUUUCACUUACAAACCCCGCCUCUCGCGUUUUUAAGCAUUAUGACAGUUUUUUCGAGCGAUAUGUAGAAUGAUACAUGUUUAUCGAACGUUCGGUUAUUGUGCGAAAGUCGAGGAUAAAGUCCGUCGGGGUAUCUGAAAUUUGUAUUACACAUCCGGCUAAAAUGUUGCUAUACGGUUUUUUUAAGAGUGCGAGAUUAUAUCAAAUAUUUAAGAAUUGUCGUGAUAAUUGAUAACAGCCGGACGCACAACUUAAUAAUAACAUAAUUUACGUAACAUUUCGUGUAAACAAGAUUGCAUCGCUUUACCUUAAACCAAACUGGAGGAGCUGACAACGCGGCGAGACGACGACGACGACUUCUCGUUGGUAACCGUAACGAGCGCUUCCCUUCAGGAGAGCACCUGCAGCACCUUCACCGGGUCCGUAUACACGAACUGGGAGGAAAAGUUCGCGUGUCGCGCGCUACAGGGUCGAGGCCGCGUCUUCAGCUAUCGAAAGAGGAGGACUCGCUUCGGCGAUGGGAUCUUCAGCGCGCCCGUUGGCGUCUGUCCACGUCACGUCACCUCGUCGGUCAUUCGCCGUAAUACAGGCGAUUCUCGUCUCGUGUUCGUCUGGCCGCAAAAAGCCAGCAGGAGUCGCCUCUCGAACGUUCUUGCACCCCUGUUGCGUGGCGUUCUAGUCGGACUGUUGUUCGUGGACUCUCUUCAUCUGUGGCCUGGUGAAUUCUUACCCACAUCUCUACCGCCGACUAUGCCAAUUUCUCUGCCGCCUGUGAAAUGCAAUAUCAUCGAGCCACGUUGGUACGAUAAUAAUUGAGUUACGGAUGAAUCGUUUAGUCACGUCCACACAGACAUCCGUUAUAAUGUAAUAAAAACACUGUACGUUCUUCAAUAAAGAUCAAAUUAUUUC
rnacentral:lncRNA from 13 species